rnacentral:rRNA from 1 species
GACGAACGCUGGCGGCGUGCUUAACACAUGCAAGUCGAGCGGUAAGGCCCUUUCGGGGGUACACGAGCGGCGAACGGGUGAGUAACACGUGGGUGACCUGCCCUUAGCUCUGGGAUAAGCCUGGGAAACUGGGUCUAAUACCGGAUAUGACUCCAUGACGCAUGUUGUGGGGUGGAAAGCCUUGUGCGGCUAGGGGAUGGGCCUGCGGCCUAUCAGCUUGUUGGUGGGGUGANGGCCUACCAAGGCGACGACGGGUAGCCGGCCUGAGAGGGCGACCGGCCACACUGGGACUGAGACACGGCCCAGACUCCUACGGGAGGCAGCAGUGGGGAAUCUUGCGCAAUGGGCGAAAGCCUGACGCAGCGACGCCGCGUGGGGAUGACGGCCU